rnacentral:lncRNA from 1 species
GUCUUGAUCAAGAGUGUGUGAAGCUUUCUACGAGUUGUAGUGUUUGCAUUGUUACAGAAGGGAAAUGUUUGAAGAAGAUGCAAGAGAGCUGAAUAGCUUUAUCUUCGUAUGCCAUGCAUUGAAGUUGUUGUUGGCUUGCAAUAAGACUUUGUUGGUGACUAUAACUCUUGUUGGGUAUAAGUGCUCCCUUAGUUGAGUUGUUAAGCUGGAGGGUUUUUGAUUAUUUGUGAAUGCUAGGAGUUCACAUGUACAAGUUGUACCACUCGUCUUCUGGUAGGUGGAAUGAAUGAUGAGUUGCUUUCAUCACUUGGUUGGUGGUACGAAGGUGAGUUCCUUCUUCCCUUGGUUGGUGGCAUGAAUGGCAAGUUGCCAAAUGAUAUUAGAGUACGGGUUGUACAUUUCAUCACCUGGUUGGUGGCAUGAAGGAGAGUACAAGUUGUACAUUUCAUCA